rnacentral:rRNA from 1 species
UACGAAGGGGGCUAGCGUUGUUCGGAAUUACUGGGCGUAAAGCGCGCGUAGGCGGUUUUGCAAGCCAGAGGUGAAAUGCCUGAGCUCAACUUAGGAAUUGCCUUUGGGACUGCGAGGCUUUGAGGACGGGAGAGGUGAGUGGAAUUCCCAGUGUAGAGGUGAAAUUCGUAGAUAUUCGGAAGAACACCAGUGGCGAAGGCGGAUCUCUGGGCCUUACCUGACGCUCAGGUGCGAAAGCGAGGGGAGCGAACAGG